rnacentral:rRNA from 1 species
CUUUACUGUAGCUUUGCAUUGGACUGUGACGGGACUUGUGUAGGAUAGCUGGGAGGCUUAGAUAGCAGGCCGCUAGGUUUGCUGGAGCCGACGUUGAAAUACCAGCCUGGUGUCGUUGCGGUUCUAACCUGGGUCCAUCAACUGGAUCGGGGACCGUGCAUGGUGGGCAGUUUGACUGGGGCGGUCUCCUCCCAAAAGGUAACGGAGGAGUGCGAAGGUUCUCUAGACACGGUCGGACAUCGUGUUGAUAGUGCAAUGGCAUAAGAGAGCUUGACUGCGAGACUGACACGUCGAGCAGGUGCGAAAGCAGGUCAUAGUGAUCCGGUGGUUCUGAAUGGAAGGGCCAUCGCUCAACGGAUAAAAGGUA